UUAUAUUUUUUAUUUAAAUUAUUGAUUAAUUUUUUCGCUGUGAAGCAUUGAUAUCGUGAUAAGAUGCCUUGCAUGCUUAUGGGAAGAGUUUCCUAUGAGUAUGCGGCGGUUGCCAUGAUCCUCGAUUCAUAAUCUCGGAUCGGAGACGUGACAAUUAAAGUGGUAUCAGAGCAUUAGUAGAUGAACUAAGAUAUGUAUAGAAUGAGUGUCAGUGGAUAGACACUGGAGACAUUAUGGUA
rnacentral:lncRNA from 1 species